AUUGAACGCUGGCGGCAGGCCUAACACAUGCAAGUCGAACGGUAGCACAGGAGAGCUUGCUCUCUGGGUGACGAGUGGCGGACGGGUGAGUAAUGCAUGGGGAGCUGCCCAAUCGAGGGGGAUACCAGCUGGAAACGGCUGCUAAUACCGCAUACGCCCUGAGGGGGAAAGGUGGGGACCUUCGGGCCUACCGCGAUUGGAUGCACCCAUGUGGGAUUAGCUAGUUGGUGAGGUAACGGCUCACCAAGGCGACGAUCUCUAGCUGGUCUGAGAGGAUGACCAGCCACACUGGAACUGAGACACGGUCCAGACUCGUGAUGCU
rnacentral:rRNA from 1 species